CCUCUGAAAGACUUCAUGCUGUGUUUUCACCAAGUAUUUAAUAAGAUUUCAUGUCACAGUGCGUAUGUGUAUUAUUAGUUUCACUGUAUUUGACAUUUUUCUUUUGUUCUGUCCCCCUGACAGAACGCUGAAGAGGGCAUCUAUACGGGCCUGACUCCUCACGCCCAGGACACAUACGAAACCAUCGGCAUGAAGAAGUGACACCAUGAGCCAAAGUCCACACACAGAUAUUUUCCUUUAAAUAAUCUGUUAAUGUAUGUAACAUAGCUAAUCUGCUUAAAUUUUAAGAGAAUGUGAAAUAGCCAGUGCUAAUUUCCUGUUUGCUUUUGUAGCUUGUUUUGGGGGAAGUUAAGAAAGUCCAAAACAGAGAAGUUGAGCUCAAAGAUGAGCAGCUUCACAAAUGCUCACUCCUGAUGUUCUAAGUUAUUUUUGUAAAGUAAAAAAAAAAAAGAAAAAAGUUAUACACUGUACACUGUCCAGCUAGCUGCCUCUUUUUUCAAAGUUGUCUUUUUAUAAAACUGCAAAAGAAAGGUUUUUUGCAAAAUUAAAGAUGGUGCAUAUAGAUAAAGCUAUGUGUAAUCCUCAGAGACACCAAGCAGUGUUUCCUGCGCGCCACAGGAUGGCAGUGACAGUGUGUCAAAACACAGACACACGUCUCUCCCAGCAGAGAGAGCCACCCCCCCCCC